rnacentral:rRNA from 1 species
ACUCAAAUGAAUUGACGGGGGCCCGCACAAGCGGUGGAGCAUGUUGUUUAAUACGUCACUAACCGUAGAACCUUACCAGGGUUUGACAUCUAGCGCACCGUGGUGAAAGCCGCGUUCCCCGCAAGGGGACGCUAAGACAGGUGUUGCAUGGCUGUCGUCAGCUCGUGUCGUGAGAUGUUGGGUUAAGUCCCGCAACGAGCGCAACCCUCAUCCCCUGUUGCCAGCGAGUAGAGUCGGGGACUCUGGGGAAACUGCCGGGGUAACUCGGAGGAAGGUGAGGAUGACGUCAAGUCAGCAUGGCCCUUACAUCCUGGGCUACAAACAUGCUACAAUGGACGGUAGACAGACCGAUCCGAGGGGGCGACCCGGAGGCAAUCGGAGAAAUCCGUUCUCAGUUCGGAUCGCAGGCUGCAACUCGCCUGCGUGAAGUCGGAAUCGCUAGUAACCGCAGAUCAGCCAAGCUGCGGUGAAUACGUUCCCGGGCCUUGUACACACCGCCCGU